UUGCCUACGGGAGGCAGCAGUGGGGAAUAUUGCACAAUGGGGGAAACCCUGAUGCAGCGACGCCGCGUGAGUGAGGAAGUAUUUCGGUAUGUAAAGCUCUAUCAGCAGGGAAGAAAAUGACGGUACCUGACUAAGAAGCCCCGGCUAACUACGUGCCAGCAGCCGCGGUAAUACGUAGGGGGCAAGCGUUAUCCGGAUUUACUGGGUGUAAAGGGAGCGCAGGCGGCGUGGCAAGUCAGAUGUGAAAACCCGGGGCCCAACCCCGGGAGUGCAUUUGAAACUGCCAUGCUGGAGUGCCGGAGCGG
rnacentral:rRNA from 1 species